ACAUAAGUAACGAUAAAGCGGGUGAAAAGCCCGCUCGCCGGAAGACCAAGGGUUCCUGUCCAACGUUAAUCGGGGCAGGGUGAGUCGACCCCUAAGGCGAGGCCGAAAGGCGUAGUCGAUGGGAAACAGGUUAAUAUUCCUGUACUUGGUGUUACUGCGAAGGGGGGACGGAGAAGGCUAUGUUGGCCGGGCGACGGUUGUCCCGGUUUAAGCGUGUAGGCUGGUUUUCCAGGCAAAUCCGGAAAAUCAAGGCUGAGGCGUGAUGACGAGGCACUACGGUGCUGAAGCAACAAAUGCCCUGCUUCCAGGAAAAGCCUCUAAGCAUCAGGUAACAUCAAAUCGUACCCCAAACCGACACAGGUGGUCAGGUAGAGAAUACCAAGGCGCUUGAGAGAACUCGGGUGAAGGAACUAGGCAAAAUGGUGCCGUAACUUCGGGAGAAGGCACGCUGAUAUGUAGGUGAAGUCCCUCGCGGAUGGAGCUGAAAUCAGUCGAAGAUACCAGCUGGCUGCAACUGUUUAUUAAAAACACAGCACUGUGCAAACACGAAAGUGGACGUAUACGGUGUGACGCCUGCCCGGUGCCGGAAGGUUAAUUGAUGGGGUUAGCGCAAGCGAAGCUCUUGAUCGAAGCCCCGGUAAACGGCGGCCGUAACUAUAACGGUCCUAAGGUAGCGAAAUUCCUUGUCGGGUAAGUUCCGACCUGCACGAAUGGCGUAAUGAUGGCCAGGCUGUCUCCACCCGAGACUCAGUGAAAUUGAACUCGCUGUGAAGAUGCAGUGUACCCGCGGCAAGACGGAAAGACCCCGUGAACCUUUACUAUAGCUUGACACUGAACAUUGAGCCUUGAUGUGUAGGAUAGGUGGGAGGCUUUGAAGUGUGGACGCCAGUCUGCAUGGAGCCGACCUUGAAAUACCACCCUUUAAUGUUUGAUGUUCUAACGUGGACCCGUAAUCCGGGUUGCGGACAGUGUCUGGUGGGUAGUUUGACUGGGGCGGUCUCCUCCUAAAGAGUAACGGAGGAGCACGAAGGUUGGCUAAUCCUGGUCGGACAUCAGGAGGUUAGUGCAAUGGCAUAAGCCAGCUUGACUGCGAGCGUGACGGCGCGAGCAGGUGCGAAAGCAGGUCAUAGUGAUCCGGUGGUUCUGAAUGGAAGGGCCAUCGCUCAACGGAUAAAAGGUACUCCGGGGAUAACAGGCUGAUACCGCCCAAGAGUUCAUAUCGACGGCGGUGUUUGGCACCUCGAUGUCGGCUCAUCACAUCCUGGGGCUGAAGUAGGUCCCAAGGGUAUGGCUGUUCGCCAUUUAAAGUGGUACGCGAGCUGGGUUUAGAACGUCGUGAGACAGUUCGGUCCCUAUCUGCCGUGGGCGCUGGAGAACUGAGGGGGGCUGCUCCUAGUACGAGAGGACCGGAGUGGACGCAUCACUGGUGUUCGGGUUGUCAUGCCAAUGGCACUGCCCGGUAGCUAAAUGCGGAAGAGAUAAGUGCUGAAAGCAUCUAAGCACGAAACUUGCCCCGAGAUGAGUUCUCCCUGACUCCUUGAGAGUCCUGAAGGAACGUUGAAGACGACGACGUUGAUAGGCCGGGUGUGUAAGCGCAGCGAUGCGUUGAGCUAACCGGUACUAAUGAACCGUGAGGCUUAACCUU
rnacentral:rRNA from 1 species